CAAACAGGAUCAUCUAGAGCAUGUUGCAUAGGAUUGUGUCUAGGCAGGUUUUGGAAGAUCUCCAGAUAAGGAGACUCCACAACCUCUCUGGGCAGCCUGUUCCAGGGCUC